rnacentral:rRNA from 1 species
AUACGAAGGGCCCGAGCGUUAAUCGGAAUCAUUGGGCUUAAAGGGUGCGUAGGCGGACCCGCAAGUGUCUUGUGAAAUCCCACGGCUCAACCGUGGAACUGCUGGGCAUACUGCGGGCCUUGAGGUCGGCAGAGGUCGCCGGAACUCUAGGUGUAGCGGUGAAAUGCGUAGAUAUCUAGAGGAACGCCAAAGGCGAAGGCAGGUGGCUGGGCCGAUCCUGACGCUGAGGCACGAAAGCAUGGGUAGCGAACGGGAUUAGAUACCCCAGUAGUCC